rnacentral:rRNA from 1 species
CCUACGGGUGGCUGCAGUGGGGAAUAUUGCACAAUGGGGGAAACCCUGAUGCAGCGACGCCGCGUGAGCGAGGAAGUAUUUCGGUAUGUAAAGCUCUAUCAGCAGGGACGAACAAUGACGGUACCUGACUGAGAAGCCUCGGCUAACUACGUACCAGCAGCAGCGGUAAUACGUAGGGGGCAAGCGUUAUUCGGAGUUACUGGGUGUAAAGGGAGCGUAGACGGCAAGGCAAGUCAGAAGUGAAAGGGCAGGGCUCAACCCUGGACAUGCUUUUGGAACUGGGGUGCUAGAGUGCUGGAGAGGUAAGUGGAAUUCCUGGUGUAGCGGUGAAAUGCGUAGAUAUUAGGAGGAACACCAGUGGCGAAGGCGACUUACUGGACUGUAACUGACGUUGAGGCUCGAAAGCGUGGGGAACAAACAGGAUUAGAUACCCGUGUAGUC